rnacentral:tRNA from 1 species
AUUUUAAUAGCUUAAAAUUAAAGCUUGAUUUUGAAGUUAUCACAAUGAAUAUUAUAUUCUUAAAAUA